ensembl:lncRNA
GUUAAGGUAGAGGUUGUCAGGGUCUGUGUACCUAUAGUUAAGGUAGAGGUUGUCAGGGUCUAUGUACCUAUAGUUAAGGUAGAGGUUGUCAGGGUCUGUGUACCUAUAGUUAAGGUAGAGGUUGUCAGGGUCUGUGUACCUAUAGUUAAGGUAGAGGUUGUCAGGGUCUGUGUGACAGGGAUUCUUUGUCCUUCAAGACCCGGUGUAGAGGUCUCGGAUGACAGGACGCUUGGCCCUAGUGAUGAAGUCUGCCGUUUGCUCUGUCCUCGGAAGCGCCUUGAGGUUGAGGGCAGGACAGUUGCCACUGCAAAAAUACAGCCAAUCAAGUUGGUUUUGAUGGUUCAGGUGUUGUUACUGUUUUGAAAACGAGGUUGAUGCUAAAUCUUUAUAGACUCCUAAAAGGGAAGGGGCUCCGGUGGGCGGAC